UACAGAGGGUGCGAGCGUUAAUCGGAAUUACUGGGCGUAAAGGGUGCGUAGGUGGUUAAUUAAGUUAGAUGUGAAAUCCCCGGGCUUAACCUGGGAAUGGCAUUUAAGACUGGUUAGCUAGAGUUUGGUAGAGGGAAGUGGAAUUUCCGGUGUAGCGGUGAAAUGCGUAGAUAUCGGAAGGAACAUCAGUGGCGAAGGCGACUUCCUGGACCAAUACUGACACUGAGGCACGAAAGCGUGGGGAGCAAACAGG
rnacentral:rRNA from 1 species